GAUCAUGGCUCAGGAUGAACGCUGGCGGCGUGCCUAAUACAUGCAAGUCGAACGCACGAUCAAGCUUGCUUGAGAGUGAGUGGCGAACGGGUGAGUAAUACAUAAGCAACCUGCCCACGAAGACCGGGAUAACUUCUGGAAACGGGAACUAAGACCGGAUAGGUAUAGAGAAGGCAUCUUCUUUAUAUUAAAGGUGAGAAACACUGGUGGAUGGGCUUAUGGCGCAUUAGUUAGUUGGUGAGGUAACGGCCCACCAAGACGAUGAUGCGUAGCCGGCCUGAGAGGGUGAACGGCCACAUUGGGACUGAGACACGGCCCAGACUCCUACGGGAGGCAGCAGUAGGGAAUUUUCGGCAAUGGGGGCAACCCUGACCGAGCAACGCCGCGUGAGUGAAGACGGCCUUCGGGUUGUAAAGCUCUGUUGUAAGGGAAGAACGGCAUGGAGAGGAUCCAUGAGUGACGGUACCUUACCAGAAAGCCACGGCUAACUACGUGCCAGCAGCUGC
rnacentral:rRNA from 1 species